AGUCGAACGGUAACAUUUCUAGCUUGCUAGAAGAUGACGAGUGGCGGACGGGUGAGUAAUGCUUGGGAACUUGCCUUCAGGAGGGGGAUAACAGUUGGAAACGACUGCUAAUACCGCAUAACGUCUACGGACCAAAGCGGGCUUCGGCUCGCACCUGAAGAGAGGCCCAAGUGAGAUUAGCUAGUUGGUAAGGUAAAGGCUUACCAAGGCGACGAUCUCUAGCUGUUCUGAGAGGAAGAUCAGCCACACUGGGACUGAGACACGGCCCAGACUCCUACGGGAGGCAGCAGUGGGGAAUAUUGCACAAUGGGGGGAACCCUGAUGCAGCCAUGCCGCGUGUGUGAAGAAGGCCUUCGGGUUGUAAAGCACUUUCAGUUGUGAGGAAAGGUUAGUAGUUAAUACCUGCCAGCUGUGACGUUAACAACAGAAGAAGCACCGGCUAACUCCGUGCCAGCAGCCGCGGUAAUACGGAGGGUGCGAGCGUUAAUCGGAAUUACUGGGCGUAAAGCGCACGCAGGCGGUUUGUUAAGCUAGAUGUGAAAGCCCCGGGCUCAACCUGGGAUGGUCAUUUAGAACUGGCAGACUAGAGUCUUGGAGAGGGGAGUGGAAUUCCAGGUGUAGCGGUGAAAUGCGUAGAUAUCUGGAGGAACAUCAGUGGCGAAGGCGACUCCCUGGCCAAAGACUGACGCUCAUGUGCGAAAGUGUGGGUAGCGAACAGGAUUAGAUACCCUGGUAGUCCACACCGUAAACGCUGUCUACUAGCUGUGUGUGUCUUUAAGACGUGCGUAGCGAAGCUAACGCGCUAAGUAGACCGCCUGGGGAGUACGGCCGCAAGGUUAAAACUCAAAUGAAUUGACGGGGGCCCGCACAAGCGGUGAGCAUGUGGUUUAAUUCGAUGCAACGCGAAGAACCUUACCUACUCUUGACAUCCAGGAAAUUUUCAGAGAUGAAUUAGUGCCUUCGGGAAUCCUGAGACAGUGCUGCAUGGCUGUCGUCAGCUCGUGUCGUGAGAUGUGGAUAGUCCCGCAACGAGCGCACCCUGUCAUAGCUGCAGCAUAGUGGGCACUCUAGGAGACUGCGUGACAACGGAGAGGUGGGGACGACGUCAGUCAUCAUGGCCUUACGAGUAGGCUACACACGUGCUACAUGCAGUACAAAGGAACGAACGGGUACUGGACGAACCUAACUGUGUGAUCGGAUGGGUUGGACCUCCACCCAUGAGAGCCGAAAUCCUAUUGAAUUCGUGGUGUGGGGCGAACACG
rnacentral:rRNA from 1 species